rnacentral:lncRNA from 1 species
GACACCUGUCCCUUACCUGAACUGGAAUAUGUAAGACAGAACUUAUGUCCACCUUUCCACAGUUGUGAGGGCUGCAGAGUCAGAGGUGGGAUACAAGAGUGGUGACAGAGCCAUGCUUAGAGACCUGAGGAGGGGCCAGUGGCAAAUUGCCCAAAUUCCUUCUUAAGUUUUAAGGGCAAAAGAGUUCCAAAAGGAUGCAAGCUACAGAGACCUGGCCAACCUGUUUCCCCGACUCUGGCCACUCACAAUAGUAGCUGCCUUAGGCAUCAUGGUUUCAGGAUACUUGUGUCGUCUUUGGUUCUGCAUGUUGAGCCUGAGUAACAAAUGCUCUUUGUCUGGUCUUCAUUCUCCUCCCUUGAAUUCAGGGGAAAGAACCUACUGAAUUCUGAUGUUAUAUUAUGGAACCUUCACUGACACACAGCAUGGAGAGGGAGUGAGAGAAGGGGCCCCACUGUUUUCUCUCCAGGCCUUGAAGAAGCUCCAGCACUUGUAUGGGGCAGCCUAAUUCUGGGAGCAGCUCCCAUUCAGGGGUAGUAGACCCCUUAUCAAGAAUAAUUAAUAGCUUAACUAUUGACUUAAAUCUGAUAGCAAUCAACACCUUCUGGGACAGAACAUCCUCUACUGUUCCUAGGAUCUUGCAUCACAAAGCAAUAGUCCAAAAGGUUCUUUGGGGCACUUAUGGGGUGAAAACAAUAAGAAAAAUACUGCUGGAUCAAAGGAAAGCCCAGAUGCAGACAGCUCACCCUCGAGCAGAGUUUGAGUUGGUGGUUACACCUGUAGACCAGAGCCUUCUUCUUCCAACUGCUAACUAACAAUGGGAUAUGGUUGAGUAGAGAGUGUUCCUGACAAUAAACCACAAGCUUCCUGAGCCUCCCCCA